UUAAAUCAAAUUUGUAUGGAGUUGGAACGUUUGCCUACGUUUUCCGCUAGGGGCGCUGUUCCAACUGCAUACAAAUUUGAGUUA
rnacentral:pre_miRNA from 1 species